CCAGGCUAUUGACGACGUCACUCAAUCAGCUCAUCGCAUACGUCGAGCCGCGUCGAACAGCUCGACUUCUCGAUGUAUUAUCUGGCGGCGGGGGUGCUGUUGUGCCAUAGUAC
rnacentral:lncRNA from 1 species